rnacentral:lncRNA from 1 species
AUGCUUUCAUUUCUCAAUGCUACUUUAGUCGGAGCCUUGAACCUACUCUUCUCUGAUUCUGCAGUUAUUGUUUAUUGUGUGCUGAUUAUACACCAGGCAUGCAUCAUUCAUCAAGUGCUUUGUGUGCAUUUUCCUUUUCAGUUCUCAAACAUCCUAAUAUGCUCCCCACUUUAUUGGAGAGGAAACCAAGACUUAUUGAAGUUAAGUGACUUGUCUCAACUUACAGAACAUAAGGGGUGGAUCCCAUGUCGAGCUCACUCCAACAUUCUUCUUCUUUACUAGCACUUUGGGGGCCAAAGUGGGAGUGGGAGGAUCCCUUGAGGCCAGGAGUUCGAGGUUACCGUGAGGUGUGAUGCAUUCCAGCCUAGGCAACAGAGUGAGACCUUAUCCUUCAAAAAAAAAAAAAAAAAAAAGAGAGAGAGAGAGAGAGAAAGAAAAAGAGGUUUAGGAGUUAGUAUUUGCAGACUUUGUCUUUCAUCCAUUCCAUUUUGUAAAUGUGAAAACAAGAUCUAAAAUACAAGUAAUUUGUUCAAGGUGCCACAGAUAGUAAAUAACAAGAACUAGGUUUCUGGCCUCCUUGUAUACUCCUUUCAAUCAGAGAAUGUAGAUUCGAAUUGACAUUUCUGGCAGAGCAUGGUGGCUCAUGCCUGUAAUCCUAGCAUUUUGGGAGGAUGAGGCAGGAGGACCCCUUGAGCCCAGGAGUUUGAGACCAGCAUGGGCAACACAGGGAGACCCUGUCUCUAUAAAAUAAUAAUAGUAAUAAAAUCAAAAAUUAAAAAAUUCACAUCUCUCCCCUGUCUGUUUGGUUGGGAGAAAACUAGUGGAGAAGACAGAUAUGUAACUAGACAAAUGCAUCAGAUUGUGGCUGGGACAUAACAGCAUACUAUGGAACCAAUGAAAGCUAACACAUGGGAUAUGUUAUGAGAGGCUUCAUAGAGGAGGUGGCAUUGGGUUAGACCUUGUAUACGAUUUUAAAAGCCAGAGUGGGCAGGGCAUUCCAGAGUAAAGGAACAGUUGAAACCAAAGCAGGGAGGCUUAUAAGAACAGCUUGUGGCCGGGCAUGGUGGCUCACACCUGUAAUCCUAGCAAUUUGAGAGGCUGAGACAGGCGGAUCACUUGAGCCCAGGAGUUCCAGAUCAGCCUGGGCAACAUGGCAAAAUCCCAUCUCUACAAAAAACACAAAAAUUAGCUGGGCAUGGUGGCAUGUGCUUGUAGUCCCAGCUACUCAGGAGGCUAAGGUGGGAGGGUCACACGAGUCCAGGAGUUCGAGUAUACGGUGAGUAGUGAUUGCACCAGAAUAGCUUGUCUGAGGAACAACUGCUGCAAAGUUUGGUCCCCACAUCAGCAAAUCCUCCACGUCCCUGGGAACAUAUAUAGAGACCUUCACUCCAUUCACUCAAUCUUCAAUGAUACAUUCAUUCAACAUUUUGUCAAUAAUAGAGAGAGAAUGGUAUGGUAUGGUAAGAAAGUUCUGGUUUCCAAUCCCAGCUUUGUCACUAACUCACUGUGUGGGGCCUUGAGCAAAUCUCUUCCUCUCUGGGCGUCAGUUUCCCAUCUGUCAAACGGAAGAAUGGAUUUAUGAUCUUUAUACUCUCUUGGUGCUCACUGCAUUUGUGACAUUUACAGAUGGAGAACAGGACAAAAGUUGUCAAAGUACCCCUGACUCCCAUCCUUUCUUCUUCUUUUUUAAUUUUUUUAUUAUACUUUAAGUUCUAGGGUACAUUUGCACAAUGUGCAGGUUUGUUACAUAGGUAUACAUGUGCCAUGUUGGUUUGCUGCACCCAUCAACUCGUCAUUUACAUUAGGUGUUUCUCCUAAUGCUAUCCCUCCCCCAGUCCCGCAUCCCUGGCCAUCCUUUCUUAUUUUAGAGUAAGGAUUGAAAAUAACAUCUGUGGCCGGGCGUGGUGGCUCAAGCCUGUAAUCUCAGCAAUUUGGGAGGCCGAGAUGGGCGGAUCACGAGGUCAGGAGAUCGAGACCAUCCUGGCUAACACGGUGAAACCCUGUCUUCACUAAAAAAUACAAAAAACUAGCCGGGCGAGGUGGGGGGCGCCUGAA